CGGCCCCUUUUCCUCGCUCGGUCUGAGUCUUUCAUGUGAGAUCUUGAGCUGGAUGAUCCUUCGUGAUUCAUGGGGCCAGAGCAAAUAGAUUUUUUUUUGAGUACGACGUUAUCUUGCGAUUGCUGUGGUAACGCUGUAAUUACCAAAUCUGACACCA
rnacentral:snoRNA from 1 species